rnacentral:siRNA from 1 species
GUAAACGAAGCAACUCGUAACUAC